rnacentral:rRNA from 1 species
UACAGAGGUCUCAAGCGUUGUUCGGAUUCAUUGGGCGUAAAGGGAGCGUAGGUGGCGGGGUAAGUCGGGUGUGAAAUCUCGGGGCUCAACCCCGAAACUGCACUUGAUACUGCCUUGCUCGAGUACUGGAGAGGAGAUCGGAAUUUACGGUGUAGCAGUGAAAUGCGUAGAUAUCGUAAGGAAGACCAGUGGCGAAGGCGGAUCUCUGGACAGUUACUGACACUGAGGCUCGAAGGCCAGGGGAGCAAACGGG